rnacentral:rRNA from 1 species
AGAACGAACGCUGGCGGCAGGCCUAAUACAUGCAAGUCGAGCGGGCGUAGCAAUACGUCAGCGGCGGACGGGUGAGUAACACGUGGGAACAUGCCCUUCGGUACGGAACAACUCAGGGAAACUUGAGCUAAUACCGUAUGAUCCGGCAACGGCAAAGAUUUAUCGCCGAAGGAUUGGCCCGCGUCCGAUUAGCUAGUUGGUGAGGUAACGGCCCACCAAGGCACCGAUCGGUAGCUGGUUUGAGAGAACGACCAGCCACACUGGGACUGAGACACGGCCCAGACUCCUACGGGAGGCAGCAGUAGGGAAUCUUGGACAAUGGGGGAAACCCUGAUCCAGCCAUGCCGCGUGAGUGAUGAAGGCCUUCGGGUUGUAAAACUCUUUCGACGGGGACGAUAAUGACGGUACCCGUAGAAGAAGCUCCGGCUAACUUCGUGCCAGCAGCCGC